UACGUAGGGUGCGAGCGUUGUCCGGAAUUAUUGGGCGUAAAGAGCUCGUAGGCGGUCUGUCGCGUCGGUCGUGAAAACUUGGGGCUUAACCCUGAGCUUGCGGUCGAUACGGGCAUGACUGGAGUUCGGCAGGGGAGACUGGAAUUCCUGGUGUAGCGGUGAAAUGCGCAGAUAUCAGGAGGAACACCGGUGGCGAAGGCGGCCUUCUGGACCGUUCUUGACGCUGAGACGCGAAAGCGUGGGGAGCAAACAGG
rnacentral:rRNA from 1 species